UACAGAGGGGGCCAGCGUUAUCCGGAAUCAUUGGGCGUAAAGGGUGUGUAGGCGGUGCUAUUAGUCGUCAGUUAAAUUCUUCGGCUUAACCGGGGGCAUGCUGGGGAAACGGUAGCACUAGAGGAUGCGAGAGGUGAAUGGAACUCAUGGUGUAGGGGUGAAAUCCGUUGAUAUCAUGGGGAACACCAAAAGCGAAGGCAGUUCACUGGCGCAUUCCUGACGCUGAAACACUAAAGCGUGGGUAGCGAAUGGG
rnacentral:rRNA from 1 species